AGUGGAUGGGGAGCAACCUAGUUGUGCGUGUGUAAAGGUAGUGCCAAGAAAAGCGGUGAUCAUGAUGAAAAUCAAUUCCCGGUACCCGAAACCGACACAGGUGGGCAAGUAGAGAAUACUAAGGGGCGCGAGGUAACUCUCUCCAAGGAACUCGGCAAAAUGACCCCGUAACUUAGGGAGAAGGGGUGCCACCGAGAGGUGGUCGCAGUGAAGAGGCCCAGGCGACUGUUUAGCAAAAACAUAGGUCUCUGCAAACUCGAAAGAGGAGGUAUAGGGGCUGACGCCUGCCCAGUGCCGGAAGGUUAAAGAAGUUGGUCAGUCUUAGGAUAAAGCUAGCGACUGAAGCCCCGGUGAACGGCGGCCGUAACUAUAACGGUCCUAAGGUAGCGAAAUUCCUUGUCGGGUAAGUUCCGACCCGCACGAAAGGCGUAACGAUCUGGGCGCUGUCUCGGAGAGAGGCUCGGCGAAAUAGGAUUGUCUGUGAAGAUACGGACUACCUGCAUUUGGACAGAAAGACCCUAUGAAGCUUUACUAUAGCUUGGAAUUGUGUUCGGGCUUCCUGCGCGCAUAGGUGGGAGGCGAAGAAGGUAUUCUUGUGGGGAUACUGGAGCCAACGGUGAGAUACCACUCCCAGGAGGCUAGAAUUCUAACUUAAUUAAGGACAGUUUCAGGUGGGUAGUUUGACUGGGGCGGUCGCCUCCAAAAAGGUAACGGAGGCGUACAAAGGUUCCCUCAGACUGGUUGGAAAUCAGUCGCAGAGUGCAAAGGCAGAAGGGAGCUUGACUGCGAGAAGUACAGUUCGAGCAGGGUGGAAACACGGUCUUAGUGAUCCGACGGUGCUGUGUGGAAGGGCCGUCGCUCAACGGAUAAAAGUUACUCUAGGAUAACAGGCUGAUCUCCCCCAAGAGUUCACAUCGACGGGGAGGUUUGGCACCUCGAUGUCGGCUCAUCGCAACCUGGGGCGGAAGUACGUCCCAAGGGUUGGGCUGUUCGCCCAUUAAAGCGGUACGUGAGCUGGGUUCAGAACGUCGUGAGACAGUUCGGUCCAUAUCCGAUGUAGGCGUGAGAAUAUUGAGAGGAGCCUUCCUUAGUACGAGAGGACCGGGAAGGACGCACCGCUGGUGUACCUGUUAUGAUGCCAAUUGUAAACGCAGGGUAGCCAAGUGCGGAGAGGAUAACCGCUGAAAGCAUCUAAGUGGGAAGCCCACCUCAAGAUGAGUAUUCUGGUGUAAGGUCACGGGAAGACGACCCGUAAAUAGGCACGAGGUGGAAGUGCAGAGAUGUAUGAAGCCGAAGUGUACUAAUAGACCGUCGGCUUGAC
rnacentral:rRNA from 1 species